AGGGACCAGCGGGAGGAGGAGUUGGGCGAGUAUUACAUGAAGAAAUACGCCAAGUCCUCGGUGGGGGAGACGGUUUAUGGGGGCUCGGAUGAGCUGUCGGACGACAUCACCCAACAGCAGCUGCUGCCCGGGGUCAAGGACCCCAAUCUCUGGACUGUCAAGUGCAAGAUCGGGGAGGAACGAGCCACGG